rnacentral:misc_RNA from 1 species
GGUAAAUUUAAGGCACUGGCUGGGAAAGUGACAGACAGAGAAAACCCUAGCAACAUAAUCCAUUCUGAUCGGCCUUGCAUUUUAUUUAAGCUCCCCAACGUCCGCCAGCGUCAACUGCCUGAAGCUACUCUAUCUCGCUCUUCUCACUCACUUACUCAGCAUCCUCAAAAUGGAGCUGUGUACUACUCAAUCCCUCUCUAAUCUUCCCAAAAUUUUCACCGCAAACCCUACUCU